rnacentral:tRNA from 1 species
UGGGGCGUAGCCAAGCGGUAAGGCAGCGGGCUCUGAACUCGCCAUUUCACUGGUUCGAUCCCAGUCGCCCCAACCA